GAUGAACGCUGGCGGCGUGCCUAAUACAUGCAAGUCGAGCGAACGGACGAGAAGCUUGCUUCUCUGAUGUUAGCGGCGGACGGGUGAGUAACACGUGGAUAACCUACCUAUAAGACUGGGAUAACUUCGGGAAACCGGAGCUAAUACCGGAUAAUAUUUUGAACCGCAUGGUUCAAAAGUGAAAGACGGUCUUGCUGUCACUUAUAGAUGGAUCCGCGCCGCAUUAGCUAGUUGGUAAGGUAACGGCUUACCAAGGCAACGAUGCAUAGCCGACCUGAGAGGGUGAUCGGCCACACUGGAACUGAGACACGGUCCAGACUCCUACGGGAGGCAGCAGUAGGGAAUCUUCCGCAAUGGGCGAAAGCCUGACGGAGCAACGCCGCGUGAGUGAUGAAGGUCUUCGGAUCGUAAAACUCUGUUAUUAGGGAAGAACAUAUGUGUAAGUAACUGUGCACAUCUUGACGGUACCUAAUCAGAAAGCCACGGCUAACUACGUGCCAGCAGCCGCGGUAAUACGUAGGUGGCAAGCGUUAUCCGGAAUUAUUGGGCGUAAAGCGCGCGUAGGCGGUUUUUUAAGUCUGAUGUGAAAGCCCACGGCUCAACCGUGGAGGGUCAUUGGAAACUGGAAAACUUGAGUGCAGAGAAGAAAGUGGAAUUCCAUGUGUAGCGGUGAAAUGCGCAGAGAUAUGGAGGAACACCAGUGGCGAAGGCGACUUUCUGGUCUGUAACUGACGCUGAUGUGCGAAAGCGUGGGGAUCAAACAGGAUUAGAUACCCUGGUAGUCCACGCCGUAAACGAUGAGUGCUAAGUGUUAGGGGGUUUCCGCCCCUUAGUGCUGCAGCUAACGCAUUAAGCACUCCGCCUGGGGAGUACGACCGCAAGGUUGAAACUCAAAGGAAUUGACGGGGACCCGCACAAGCGGUGGAGCAUGUGGUUUAAUUCGAAGCAACGCGAAGAACCUUACCAAAUCUUGACAUCCUUUGACAACUCUAGAGAUAGAGCCUUCCCCUUCGGGGGACAAAGUGACAGGUGGUGCAUGGUUGUCGUCAGCUCGUGUCGUGAGAUGUUGGGUUAAGUCCCGCAACGAGCGCAACCCUUAAGCUUAGUUGCCAUCAUUAAGUUGGGCACUCUAAGUUGACUGCCGGUGACAAACCGGAGGAAGGUGGGGAUGACGUCAAAUCAUCAUGCCCCUUAUGAUUUGGGCUACACACGUGCUACAAUGGACAAUACAAAGGGCAGCGAAACCGCGAGGUCAAGCAAAUCCCAUAAAGUCGUUCUCAGUUCGGAUUGUAGUCUGCAACUCGACUACAUGAAGCUGGAAUCGCUAGUAAUCGUAGAUCAGCAUGCUACGGUGAAUACGUUCCCGGGUCU
rnacentral:rRNA from 1 species